CAGUAGCCACGGGAAUACGUAGGUGGCAAGCGUUGUCCGGAUUUAUUGGGCGUAAAGGGCUCGCAGGCGGUUUCUUAAGUCUGAUGUGAAAGCCCCCGGCUCAACCGGGGAGGGUCAUUGGAAACUGGGAAACUUGAGUGCAGAAGAGGAGAGUGGAAUUCCACGUGUAGCGGUGAAAUGCGUAGAGAUGUGGAGGAACACCAGUGGCGAAGGCGACUCUCUGGUCUGUAACUGACGCUGAGGAGCGAAAGCGUGGGGAGCGAACAGGAUUAGAUACCCCUGUAGUCCCUGUCUCUUAUAC
rnacentral:rRNA from 1 species